rnacentral:lncRNA from 1 species
AUUUAAGAACCGUAAACCUCAAUGCCUGCCCUCAAGAGGUUCCUUGUCACCAUGAGGAACAGCUGGGGUCCGGAUGUAAUGACCACAGGUGGUGGCUGCCAGUGCUCUGGGUGGUCAGAGGACCAUGGGAUUUCUUCCUCUGAGCUCUAACCCUGUGCACAGCCUCCCCAACUUCACCUCUCAGGUCCCACGUUGGACCCUUGUUAGUUUCGUAAGCUUGAGCCUGUUAUUAAGCACCCUUGCACCGCUGUGUGCUCACAUGCAAGAUGAGGUGAUCUGAGUGCACGCCUUGUAGACCUGGAAGUGUGAAGCAGAACCGUGGCUGUUACAGCUUAGCUUAGGUCCUGGUGCCUCUCAGCCUGGCCGUUACCUUCUGCUGCUGGCUUCAGAAACAUUGGUCUCCCCGGGGGUCCCACUGGCCUUCCUUCUCACCUCUUUGCUAGUUCCCACCCUCAUCUUGCCAAUGUCACCUCCAUGCCAAUGUUUUCAUUAUUUUUUCCUACCUCUGCCACUAUUCAUUCACCCCUCAGCAGCUUUCACCGGAAAUAUUACAGCAGCCCCCUGACUGGUCUCUUUACUCCCAGCCUCUGUCCACUACACCGUGACCAAAGUUGUUUGUCUCAAGUUUAGCUAG